CCCCUAGAUGUUCUGGGCAGCACGCGCGCUACAAUGGUCUUCGCAAACGGAUGCAUUCUCGAAGGAGGAUGCCAAUCUUGGAAUCUAUGCCUUGGUCGGGACAGUUGCUUGCAAUUUUUCGACUCGAACCAGGAAUUCCUUGUAAUCGUGAUUCAUCACAUCACGAUGAAUACGUCCCUGCCCUUUGUACACACCGCCCGUCGCUCCUACCGAUCGAAGAGUUAGGUGAAUUGUUUUGAUCGAUAAGAUUUGACUAUGGUCAACUCUCGUUGUGAAAUUCUGUGAAUCUGACUGUUUAGAGGAAGGAAAAGUCGUAACA
rnacentral:rRNA from 1 species